rnacentral:rRNA from 1 species
CUUGAAUAAGCCACGGCUAACUACGUGCCAGCAGCCGCGGUAAUACGUAGGUGGCGAGCGUUGUCCGGAAUUAUUGGGCGUAAAGAGCAUGUAGGCGGUUUUUUAAGUCUGGAGUGAAAAUGCGGGGCUCAACCCCGUAUGGCUCUGGAUACUGGAAGACUUGAGUGCAGGAGAGGAAAGGGGAAUUCCCAGUGUAGCGGUGAAAUGCGUAGAUAUUGGGAGGAACACCAGUGGCGAAGGCGCCUUUCUGGACUGUGUCUGACGCUGAGAUGCGAAAGCCAGGGUAGCGAACGGGAUUAGAUACCCCGGUAGUCCUGGCCGUAAACGAUGGGUACUAGGUGUAGGAGGUAUCGACCCCUUCUGUGCCGGAGUUAACGCAAUAAGUACCCCGCCUGGGGAGUACGUCCGCAAGGAUGAAACUCAAAGGAAUUGACGGGGGCCCGCACAAGCGGUGGAGUAUGUGGUUUAAUUCGACGCAACGCGAAGAACCUUACCAAGGCUUGACAUAUACAGGAAUAACUAAGAAAUUAGUUAGCUCUUCGGAGUCUGUAUACAGGUGGUGCAUGGUUGUCGUCAGCUCGUGUCGUGAGAUGUUGGGUUAAGUCCCGCAACGAGCGCAACCCCUAUGCAUAGUUGCCAGCAGGUAAAGCUGGGCACUCUAUGCAGACUGCCCGGGUUAACCGGGAGGAAGGUGGGGACGACGUCAAGUCAUCAUGGCCCUUACACCCAGGGCUACACACGUACUACAAUGGCACGCACAAAGGGCAGCGAUACCGUGAGGUGGAGCCAAUCCCAAAAAACGUGUCCCAGUCCGGAUUGCAGUCUGCAACUCGACUGCAUGAAGUCGGAAUCGCUAGUAAUUCGAGGUCAGCAUACUCGGGUGAAUGCGUUCCCGGGCCUUGUACACACCGCCCGUCACACCACGAAAGUCGGUUUUACCCGAAGCCGGUGGGCCAACGAGCAAUCGAGGCAGCCGUCUACGGUAGGGCCGAUGAUUGGGGUGAAGUCGUAACAAGGUAGCCGUAGGGGAACCUGCGGCUG